AUAUAUAUUAAAAAGACAUAUUUGCCUUCGAGAAAAACAUUCCAUGCAAAGCUACUGGGAAAGGAGAAAAGCAUUUCUUUGUAGUUUCUAAAAUACGGCGGACCUAACAAACAAGCGCGUGCUUGCAGGUGAUAAAUAGGCCCCAUCACGCGCUCCCUCCUCACUCCGCGUGUACUUCUAGUCACUGGGAAAGUUCGAGUGACGGAACUACGAACAACCAGAAAGUGUGACGUCAAAACCACAGCGCGUCAGAAAAGGCACCGUGGUGCGUUUAAUUGUUGCAUCUUUGACGUCCCGCUUUGACAGUGUGGUUUUAAGCAGGAGGGGGGGGGGGGGGGGGGGGGGUGUUGUUUUAACAUGCUAAUUUUUAAACGAGGGUAGUUCCCUAAUAGCCCUCCGGCUAAUGUGGGCCUGUGUGAUGUAUGAUUCUUUCAGCUGUGUUUAUUAAACGAGAGGAAGACCCUUUUUAUUGCCUCCCCCCAUCGCCCUCACACAUAUGUUAAGAGAGCCAUUAAAAUGAGAAAGUUGUACUUACAGUACGGUACUUUUGUUGAUUUAUUUAAGGCAGUCCUUGGUCCAUUUUUUCCCCCUUUGCUAAUGCGAAUUACCCUAGCAUUCUGUCCGAAGACAAAAAAUAAAUAAAUAAUAGCUCAAUCAACCGCACACUCUAAUUAUAACAAUUCUAUAAUUCCCAUUUACAAAUAUAUAAAAAUGUGGCAGAAAAGGUUUUACAAAGUUGCAUAUAUAUUUUCAUUUCUUGCACUAUAAAACAUAAUUUUAAUGGGUGUUAAAUAUGAACAAUUCAAAUUAUUCAAAUGUUAAUCGGACACAUUAGCUUAUUUUAAUUCUAAUAUUAGUGACUAACUUUUAGUAAUACAUCCUCACUAACAUUUUGAAUCUGCGUUAAAAUGUUGGUUCGAUCACCUGAGGUUUGCAGUGUUCACCGGAGAACGAGAAGGCAGACAUGUUUAUGUAUGGAGCUAUAAAUCUAUUAAUACUGUAAAAAUAAAUAAAUAAAUACAUUUUGGCAUUAAGAGUAUGAUUUAGUGUUUAAACAACAACGCUAAUGCUAUAGUCAAUAAUGCUAUCAAGUUGGAAGUUGUUGGCAGUGGGUGGACCAUCUUGGCUUGACAGGGAAAAUGUUCACAUGUUGCAAUAGAUAUUUAAAAAGUUGCUACUUCAGUAAUAUUUUCUAACCUAAUCAUUAUUAUUAUUAUUAUUAUUAUUAUUUUAGUUUUUACAUGAGAGGACGAAUCAGGCAAGAAAACAUGAUCUUAAUAAUUAGCAAGAAUUAUAGUUAAAGUUGCAGCAUGUUAACAUUUCUACACGUAUUUUAUUGGUUAAAUCCUACAAGUCCGUUUUGUCAGUGUACCUCAUCAUUAAUAACAUUGCCUUAUUAACAUUGUUGUCUUAAGAUCCCGAUUUUUUUGUGUUUUGCUUUUGACAUUGGACCGAAUAGUACCUGCCUAAUUUCUCAGUAUUUUUCUUCUUGUUUUUUUUUUUUUAAAACCUCCUUCUGGUGUUGCUAUUAUCUCCAUAUUUUAAGCCCAUCUGUGUCUCUUUCUCACGCCCUCUCCCUCUACAUCUCUUCUCGUGCGCAUGCGUCAGUCGGCAGCUGCUUGCAGGAAGAUUUCCAUCAUAUUUGUUGUGGCAAAGCCUUGAAACAGGUCUAAUUGUGGAAAAAAAAAAAAAAAAAACCGAGCGGAAAAAGAGGGGGGAAAUGAUCCUCUUCAUCCAGACUCACAGAACAAUCAGCUGAGGAUACCUCUAUUUUUUUUUAAAUAUAUUUUUUUUGUCUGCCAAAAACAAAUUAAACAUCUCCUCCAGUCCUACCAAUCGGCUGUCGAUAUGUUCAUCUGCAACCACGAGGUAGUAUAUGUAUAUAUGCUGCAUGUUUUUGCACUGUAAAUUCCGAGUCGCCUUGAAGUUUUAAAUUGCGUUAUGCUAUCUUACGCAGACAUGUGGCGUUCGGGCGCGCGCAUACCCACACCGGCUUAUAGACUUCAUUUGAGAUGGGUGAGUCAGAUAACUGGGGAAUUAUUUUAGGGGCUCAGCCUCCCCACUCACGGGGGAGCAGUCGGCUAUGUUUCUUAUUCAAACGCUGAUUGUCUCAUAAACGCGCGCCUGAAAAGUUCCCUCGACAAUUUAACGGGGUAAUGAGAAAUGCAAUAGGUUUUGAUUUUUCGUCGAGGAGCGAGAUGAUUAUUGGCUCCCCGCAUUUUUCUCUAUUUUGGCGUCGCCCGGGUUUCAGAUCCGCUCGGUUAUAGUCUGCAGUAAACACGUGGGAAAAUAUAAUAACCGAGCGAGCUGCGUCGUUUAAAAAAAAAAUAAAAAAAUCCCACCUACAGAGUCCAAACUUGAGGUCAUUUGAAAUUUGUUCACCGUCGGAGGGAAAAGAAAUCAGAAAAGUAUCAGUUUUAGGCCCAUAAAGUGGUUUAGGAACAUAAGAUUUGUUGGCUGUCAGUAACCAAUGUAUUACUGAUAUAAACAGCCGUUUUAAAUUACACGCUAAAGCGCGCGCGGAAAAGACGGGGAAACGUGCGCGCGCAUGGUCGUAGGAAAAAAAAAAAAAAAAAGCCCUCGGGAUUAUCUCCGGACACGUGUCCGUCCAUCAGGAGGGAGCGGGCAGCGGCCUGACACGCGCAGAGCCUGUUAGUCAACUCGGGCCCCCGCAGAGCUCCGAGGUAAGCUGCGGCUGCUGGAGCUGGCCAUGGUGCUGAAGCGGUUAGAGGCUUUCUUCACCCUCUUAUAAUAAUAAUAAUAAAAGAAAAUAAUAAUAAUAAUAAUUUAAAAAAAAUAACUCCAACUAAAAGCUCCGGUUGACAUUUCAAUGCCUUUCAUUGGACUUCCAUCCCGUUUGGCGGUUCACCGUGACGAAAAUAAAUAAAAUGUCAGAAGCGGAGACAAGUUGAGAGAUGUACAACUUCCCGUUCUUGAAGAGCUACUUUUGAAUGUACAGUGUUUCAUGCUAUCAGAAUUAAGUUGGAACAUUCCGUAAACUUCCGUAAACACACCGUAAACUUGUUUUUUUGUUGUUGUUUUUUUUUCUGGUUCUGCCUUUUUCGGGUUCCGUGAAAACAGAAGUGGAUUGUAAAUGUGAAGCAGAGUAAGAAUUCUUCCCUUUCUUUUUUAAAAAAAAUAAAAAUGUCACAGAUUCUCUUCUGGUUUUAUGUUUAAAUACAGAGUUUUUAUCCAAACCGGUUCACUGCAACAUCGUCCUGCUCAAAGAUUAGCCUUCAAGUCAGCAUCACGUGCUUCGGAGGUUUUCAUCCAACUUACCCAGAAUCCCUGUUGAAGAUCCCCCGCCGGAUAACAGAGCAGAGAGCGAGCGGGAGAAGAAAAGUAAGCAGAGGUUCAAGGCAUCAGGGGGAUUUCAGCUUUCCACAUGAGACCGACUCAGAAGAUAACAUUUGUUUAAUGUGAAGUUAAGCUGGAGCCGCUAUCAAACGCCAACCAAACAGAUUUUAACGGAUUGGUCCCUCACUGCUGUGAGAUCUAUGAACGUAGCUCUAUGACGUUUCCUAGUGGCCACAUUCAGUCAGGGGAAGAUCUAGCGUUCACAAUGUUGGGUGGAAAUGUGUAAAAAGAAGAGCAGAAAUGUUCAUCUUCAGGUCAAUCAUCUGCAACGGGCCCCCGUCUGGUAAUCCCUCCUGCUCCGUCAUUCACCUCUGUGGGAGGGACCCGAGAGGGAAGCCGCGCCACCAGAGAGCCGCUAUCUCCAGAACCUGCUCGGCACACAGGCCUAUCACAGGCAGCUAAGACCACUCAGCUCAGGCAGCCAAAAAGGCACCCUUAUGAAACUUUACCCAGAUAUUAGGGGCACUGUGAAGCCAACUGAUAUGUUACAAAGACACUGUGUAGAGGGGGGGGGUGACCAUUUCUAGUAUUUAUAUGAAGCUUCACCAGCUGGAAGAGUAAGUAGUGUUACUAUUUUGGCCUUUAGCUGAAAUGGAGCCAUGGGGCUUGGGGAGGUUUUAUUCUUUUGCAGCGUUUUGUUUUUUUUUUAAAACAUGAUAGCGAAAAGAAAUAUGUCACUACUGGAAGAGCACAGCAUUUGAAAUCACUACCGUGAUCGUAAGGGGCUGUUUUUGUGAAACAUUUGAUAAGCAGUUGUGUUUUAAAAGGGGUGCAUUUAGUCUCUGCAUGUAAGUGUCAUAUUUGGCCAGUUGGAUAAACUGUAAGUGUCCUUUAAAGUGAAGUUCUUCAAAUUAAACAAAAUUUGGGUCAAAUGU